rnacentral:rRNA from 1 species
UACAGAGGGGGCAAGCGUUGUUCGGAAUUACUGGGCGUAAAGGGCGCGUAGGCGGCCUGCUAAGUCGAACGUGAAAUCCCUGGGCUCAACCCAGGAACUGCGUCCGAUACUGGUUGGCUUGAAUUCGGGAGAGGGAUGCGGAAUUCCAGGUGUAGCGGUGAAAUGCGUAGAUAUCUGGAGGAACACCGGUGGCGAAGGCGGCAUCCUGGACCGAUAUUGACGCUGAUGCGCGAAAGCCAGGGGAGCAAACGGGAUUAGAAACCCGCGUAGUCC